CUGAUGCGCAAGGUUUAAUAUAAUAUAUAUUUUUCUGUCUUAUUUACAGAUAUAAAACUGUCAUCCUGAUUAUGUAAACCAUGGACACCAAAUAAUGAAAUUCAUGGACGUUCUUGUGCCUGUUCUCGAAAAUGGUACAUACAUAAGGGGUUACAGAAUUGAUAUUGAUAAGAAUGAAGAAACAUAAGGAAUAGUAAUGCUGUGAGGAUGUCUACCCAACGCAAUUUCAGUUGCAUUAUAUGUAUGAAAACGCAUUUAAAAGAGACAAAUCGACGAGCAAUAUUUAAUUCUGGAUUGCGGAACUAUGUAGAGUCCAUUUUAAAGAGACAUGUGUACGAACAUGACACAAUUUGCUUAAAAUGAAGAACACGAAUCCAACGAGAAAUUCAGGCGAACAAAUUAUUCAACAAUGUGACUGCUGCAGAAAAUAUUAAAAGCAAUGAAAAAAACCAACCAAGCUCUGGAGGCGUUCUUUGUCCAAAAAAUAUACAACCCCCAAUAUGUUGUACCACAAAAUCGCACCGUAGGUGUAUUGUUUGUAAAAAGGAAAAUUCAAAUAGGCAUAAACUUAUUGUUGUUUCAAAUGAGGCUAAGACACAAACAUUUAUAGACAAGGUCAUCUUUAUUUCCACGAACAGUAUGUGUUGUUCUGAUCACCUUAUUAGAAAAUACUUCAAGCAAGAGGCUUUAAAAGCAUUAAAGCAUACUUCUCCGUAGACAUUCUUCAAUCGCACGGAUAUAAACGACUUGUUAGAUACAACCAGGUCAAUGUUAAAAGAUGUCGGAAAACUUAAUUUUGAUGUUCAGAUAUCAAUGUCAGAUGACGAUUUUGUUAAUCUCACUGGACUAACCAAACAACAGUUUGACGUUGUCGCUACACACGUUACAGACUUGAGAAACUCUGAAGUACGUUCAAUAAGAACAUGUCUAGCUAUUCUCCUGGUCAAACUACGCACUGGAUUAUCAAACUCAAUCUUGGGAACUCUUUUCAGCCUUAAGUCCUAUAAUAUACGGCGAUCCGUACACUCAGCACGGGAAUCUCUUAUCAAAAAUUAUGUUCCUUCAUUUUUAGCU